rnacentral:rRNA from 1 species
AUUGAACGCUGGCGGCAGGCCUAACACAUGCAAGUCGAGCGAGCGGCGGACGGGUGCGUAAUGUCUGGGAACCUGCCUGAUGGAGGGGGAUAACUACUGGAAACGGUAGCUAAUACCGCAUACCAUCAGAUGUGCCCAGAUGGGAUUAGCUAGUAGGUGGGGUAAUGGCUCACCUAGCCGACGAUCCCUAGCUGGUCUGAGAGGAUGACCAGCAACACGGGAACGGAGACACGGCCCAGACUCCUACGGGAGGGAGCAGUGGGGAAUAUUGCACAAUUGGCGCAAGCCUGAUGCAGCCAUGCCGCGUGUAUGAAGAAGGCCUUCGGGUUGUAAAGUACUUUCAGCGGGGAGGCGGUACCCGCAGAAGAAGCACCGGCUAACUCCGUGCCAGCAGCCGCGGUAAUUC